UACGUAGGGGGCUAGCGUUAUCCGGAUUUACUGAGCGUAAAGGGCGCGUAGGCGGUUCCGUGUGCCGCGUGUGAAAUACCAGGGCUCAACCCUGGAAGUGCGCGCGAAACUGCGGGUCUAGAGCAGAGGAGGGGAGAGCGGAAUUCAUGGUGUAGCGGUGAAAUGCGUUGAUAUCAUGAGGAACACCGGUGGCGAAGGCGGCUCUCUGGAAUCUUGCUGACGCUGAGGCGCGAAAGUUGGGGGAGCAAACAGGAUUAGAUA
rnacentral:rRNA from 1 species